rnacentral:rRNA from 1 species
AUGGUGUUGGGCAUCAUGGCGGCGGAGGGGGUAGACAUACUCUCGAUGGAGGAAGUGAGCUCUCUUUGGACAUGUAUCCCCGCCAUCAUCACUGUCUUCACGGCCCUCACCAGCAGCAGUCGGGGCCACCGGCAGCCUCCCUGGUGGCGUGAUCUAGUGGGCAAGACGCANNNNNNNNNNAACUCCAAUGGGAGGAGAUCUAACGAUGCGUCUGCCGCCGCCGUUGGUGAGCAUGACGCAGUCGGGAGGCAUGAGUACGAGGCGCAGGCAGAGACCGCGGAGAAGAGGAUGGUUGAGCCUCUAAUGGGGGAAGUGACGUUCUUCAAUUAUCAAGUCAUUUUGCGAUUUCAAGAUGUAUUAUACUUACCUAUUGUUGGUUCCUUAUGCAGGAUGGCAAACAAAGGUAAUCCCGGAGCGAAGAGGAAGAAGAAGCAGGAGGCUGGCGGGCAGAAGAAUCAGGAAGCUGGAGGGGAGAAGAAGCAGGGGGCUGGCGGGAAGAAGAAGCCGACCCUGCACUGCUUGGCACUUGAGGAGGAGAGAGGAUGUAAAAAGUUCAAUGAAUAUAUGCAAGAACUGGCUAACAAGUCCCCUGGAAAAGAUAUAUGCGUGGUUGAGCCAUCUCGCGGGGAUACACAAACACCUGGUGAAGCACUGCUAAUUGAAGAGGCCCAGACAGCAAUCCUCAGAGUCAUUCAUCUAUAUAUGGACGAAAUCGAGGAAGGCUGGUGCUUCAGCACAGUCAGCGAGAGCAAUACAGUCGUCACAAAUCAAGACAUUCCUAAGAUUCUGAAAGAUAAUCGGGUGAGAGCAACAGCGGAAACAGUUACCAAAUGCGUGACUGGUUUAGCUGAAAUGCUUAAGAGGGUUGUCAUGGAUUCGAGCCCAUCCUACCGACAGGAUCCUAAUAUCAACAAGGAGCUGCGUCACCUCCUUGGUUUGAUACGCAGAUACAAGUUCAGGGCAUGCACAUUUUUGAUCAAGUACCAUGCAGCUACAGUUCCUCUAAUCAACAGACUGAUUCUCUUCAUUAUGAUCUAUGAUCAUACUGUAGAGAUUCUAAGGCGCACUGACCCUAAGGCGUAUAACACAGUAAUGACGAGUCUUGACUGCCCAGCAAAUUGGGACAAUCUUGUGAGAAGUAAUAACUUUCUUCUGAUGUACUACGACUGGUUUGAUCUUGCAAGAGCUCAAUAUCAGAGGUUUCCUGAGGUCAUGGUAUCAAUGCAGACGAGUUUGCAUUCGCUGGGGGAACUCCAAGCCUUGGGAACGCAAUAUCUGUUCCCUGCAAAGAUAAAAGUGACGCCCAAAGGGCCUGAAUCCUGA